GUCCUUCGGGACAUACGCAAAAAUUGGAAAAAUACAGAGAAGAUUAGCAUGGCCCCUGCGCAAGGAUGACACGCAAAACUUCGAGAAGAUCCCAGUUUUU
rnacentral:snRNA from 1 species